GCUGGUGUGAUCUGGGGUUGUCGUCAGCCACCAGCACUGGGCUGGGAUUUAAAGGGACAAUGCAGAUGAUGUCUGCAUACCUCCAGAUGUCUGCAUACCUCCAGAUGUCUGCAUACCUCCGGCCUCAGUGUGCCGUCAUAUGACACCUUAAAUAGAGAGACAAGGCUCUCCUCAAAGCCUGUGUGUGUCCUUGCCCACCACAGACCCCUUUUCUGGCAGAGUCGAUGUGGUUCUGAGCAAAGCAGAACAGCUUGAUAAUAUUCCUGCCAGGACUUUUUGGUCUUUGCCAUCACCUUGGCUUGGCGUCACCUCAGCUCCAGGCGCUCAAGCCAAGGCAGCCCCUACUGCUCUGCCCACCUGUUCCCUCACAAGCCAUCACUCCCCACGUCCCCGGCCGUCCCCCCAGCUGUGCCCCGGGGUGUCGGAGGGGUUCCCGGUGUGCCCGCCUGGGGCACGUACUCACGGGGUUCAGUGGAGCCAGGGCAGGGCAGCCCGCCAGCGCGCGGCCUUCUGCGCUUCUCCGUGCUCCCUGUGCCUUCGCCUCAUCCCCUCUCCUGCGGCAUCCAGCGGGCAGAAAUAGCCCCAAAGCACGUGCUGCCUUCCGGGGAGCGAUGCCAGGGGCACCCUGGGCGCUGCCCUCCUCGGGGGCUGCCCUGGCACUGGUGGCACUAGGGGCUCCAGCCCGGCGCCGUGCCGGGGCACGGGCUGCUCACAGCUCGGGUGAGGAACAUCUUCAUUUAUCUGCCAAGAUAAUAAAUUCUGCCUUAGAGUUUCUCACCUGGCAACAGUCACCAAGGAAACGAGAAUGGCUGCUGCGGGUCCCCGCUGGCACCGCCUGGGGAGGCCCGGUGGCCCUGGCAGAGGGUGGCCGGCCGUGUGAGCAUGGGGCCAGCUGCCCGCUCCAAACCCGAGCACAGGCCCAGCAGAACACACAUCCGUGUGGGCUUGGCCCUCGUGCCGCCUCUCUGGAGCCGAGGAGCUCCUGCAGCUCAGACAUCCCUGUGUGACUUCUCCUCCACACACAUCAGUGGCAGCAAGCCAGGGAGGGCAGCUCUGGCUGGGAAAAGAAGCAGGAAACCUGAGAAGCAAGAUAAGAGCUUCAGAGCUG
rnacentral:lncRNA from 1 species